GACGAACGCUGGCGGCGUGCUUAACACAUGCAAGUCGAGCGGUAAGGCCCUUUCGGGGGUACACGAGCGGCGAACGGGUGAGUAACACGUGGGUGACCUGCCCUCAGCUCUAGGAUAAGUCUGGGAAACCGGGUCUAAUACUGGAUAUGACUCCAUGACGCAUGUUGUGGGGUGGAAAGCCUUGUGCGGCUGAGGAUGGGCCCGCGGCCUAUCAGCUUGUUGGUGGGGUGAGGCCUACCAAGGCGACGACGGGUAGCCGGCCUGAGAGGGCGACCGGCCACACUGGGACUGAGACACGGCCCAGACUCCUACGGGAGGCAGCAGUGGGGAAUAUUGGACAAUGGGCGAAAGCCUGAUCCAGCGACGCCGCGUGGGUGAAGAAGGCCUGCGGGUUGUAAAGCCCUUUCAGUGGGGAAGAAAAGCCUCGACCUAACACGUCGGGGUCUUGACGUAACCCAUAGAAGAAGCACCGGCUAACUCUGUGCCAGCCGCCGCAGUAAU
rnacentral:rRNA from 1 species